AUCGCUUCUCGGCCUUUUGGCUAAGAUCAAGUGUCAGUUUAAUAUCUGAUACGUCCCCUAUCUGGGGACCAUAUAUUAAAUGGAUUUUGGAUUUUUGAGAACGGGGGCCGAUUUCGAAGCUUGCUUCCGUCGCCCUAUGCAUUGACCCGAUAUGGCAGUAUCUUCGGGUACAGUGCACCACCC